CAGCAGCCGCGGGAAUACAGAGGGUGCGAGCGUUAAUCGGAUUUACUGGGCGUAAAGCGUGCGUAGGCGGCUAAUUGAGUCGGAUGUGAAAUCCCCGAGCUUAACUUGGGAAUUGCAUUCGAUACUGGUUAGCUAGAGUGUGGGAGAGGAUGGUAGAAUUCCAGGUGUAGCGGUGAAAUGCGUAGAGAUCUGGAGGAAUACCGAUGGCGAAGGCAGCCAUCUGGCCUAACACUGACGCUGAGGUACGAAAGCAUGGGGAGCAAACAGGAUUAGACACCCCCGUAGUCCCUGUCUCUUAUAC
rnacentral:rRNA from 1 species